UACGAAGGGGGCUAGCGUUGCUCGGAAUUACUGGGCGUAAAGGGAGCGUAGGCGGGUUAUCAAGUUUGGAGGUGAAAGCCCAGGGCUCAACCUUGGAAUUGCCUUCAAAACUGAUAGCCUAGAGUAUGAUAGAGGUAAGUGGAACUCCGAGUGUAGAGGUGAAAUUCGUAGAUAUUCGGAAGAACACCAGUGGCGAAGGCGAACUUACUGGAUCAUGACUGACGCUGAGGCUCGAAAAGCGUGGGGGAGCAAACAGG
rnacentral:rRNA from 1 species